GGGUGUUCCACAACUCCACAAUUUUGUCCUUGAACAAACUGAAUCAAACACAACUUUGCAAACCAAUAAAGAUUGGGACUGUGGAAAGUGUAUCUCAGCACAGCAUCGUGUUCAGCAGUUUGCUGGAAAUCAAUGGGCAAAUUGCUUCUUUGAAACCUCUGGACUGGCAUUAUUCCUGGAACAAACCUUAUUUACCUGAACUAACUCCUGGGAAGACUUAUUUCUUCAACGAUAAUAAUGUCUUCAUUGAUUUCAAUCAUGACUCUCUUCUUCAGUCGAUCCGUUUCAUUAUUUCCAAAUGUUAGUCCUGUCCUGGUUAAUCUGCUCCAGUGUGCAAUAUGAAAUUAGUUCCCAGAGAGUGACAAAAGCUUCAGUAGUAAAAUAUGUACUUUGUGCAGUCAAAGUCAUGCAAUAAGAUGGUGCACUAAAUAGUGUGUUGUCUGCGUUCUCAUAGUGAGUUCUCAUAAAAGCUCUUUACAGUUUUGUUCUCCAGAUUUUUUUUCUUUUCAAAUUUGUAUUAUGUAACAAAAAACAUAAAAACUGCAGUUGUUUGGGCAGAUGCGAUUUGUUGCUAAUUUGCUCUACUAUCAGCAAUAAAAGCUAAAUUUGCAGGUGCCCUAUGAUGUCUGCAUAUUUAUCUUUAACUGUGUUUAUAUUGUUUACUUCUCAAGUUUUACUCAAUAGCUAAUUUUUCCCUGAGGUCUUUGAACUGUUCUGUAUUACUAUAUAUUCAAAUGUAUACAAAAAUCAGUUAUCAUCAUCAUCAUAAAUGUAUUCAUAUUUUAUCCAGUGAAUAAAUUU